CACGGGGGUUGCGAGCGUUAAUCGGAAUUACUGGGCGUAAAGCGUGCGCAGGCGGUUUUGUAAGACAGAGGUGAAAUCCCCGGGCUCAACCUGGGAACUGCCUUUGUGACUGCAAGGCUGGAGUGCGGCAGAGGGGGAUGGAAUUCCGCGUGUAGCAGUGAAAUGCGUAGAUAUGCGGAGGAACACCGAUGGCGAAGGCAAUCCCCUGGGCCUGCACUGACGCUCAUGCACGAAAGCGUGGGGAGCAAACAGG
rnacentral:rRNA from 1 species